rnacentral:rRNA from 1 species
AUUGAACGCUGGCGGCAUGCCUUACACAUGCAAGUCGAACGGCAGCACGGGAGCUUGCUCCUGGUGGCGAGUGGCGAACGGGUGAGUAAUACAUCGGAACGUACCCUGAAGUGGGGGAUAACGUAGCGAAAGUUACGCUAAUACCGCAUAUUCUGUGAGCAGGAAAGAGGGGGGAUCGCAAGACCUCUUGCUUUAGGAGCGGCCGAUGUCGGAUUAGCUAGUUGGUGAGGUAAAGGCUCACCAAGGCGACGAUCCGUAGCGGGUCUGAGAGGAUGAUCCGCCACACUGGGACUGAGACACGGCCCAGACUCCUACGGGAGGCAGCAGUGGGGAAUUUUGGACAAUGGGCGCAAGCCUGAUCCAGCCAUGCCGCGUGAGUGAAGAAGGCCU